UCCAGACUCCUACGGGAGGCAGCAGUGGGGGAUAUUGCACAAUGGGGGAAACCCUGAUGCAGCGACGCCGCGUGGGUGAAGGAGUAUUUCGGUAUGUAAAGCCCUAUCGGCAGGGGAGAAGAAAGACGGUACCUGACUAAGAAGCCCCGGCUAACUACGUGCCAGCAGCCGCGGUAAUACGUAGGGGGCAAGCGUUAUCCGGAAUUACUGGGUGUAAAGGGAGCGCAGACGGCAGUGCAAGUCUGGAGUGAAAGCCCGUGGCUUAACUACGGGACUGCUCUGGAAACUGUGCAGCUAGAGUGCAGGAGAGGCAGGCGGAAUUCCUAGUGUAGCGGUGAAAUGCGUAGAUAUUAGGAGGAACACCGGUGGCGAAGGCGGCCUGCUGGACUGUAACUGACGUUGAGGCUCGAAAGCGUGGGGAGCAAACAGGAUUAGAUACCCGUGUAAC
rnacentral:rRNA from 1 species